GGGUUGUGAGGUUAAGCGACUAAGCGUACACGGUGGAUGCCCUGGCAGUCAGAGGCGAUGAAGGACGUGCUAAUCUGCGAAAAGCGUCGGUAAGGUGAUAUGAACCGUUAUAGCCGGCGAUGUCCGAAUGGGGAAACCCAGUGUGAUUCGUCACACUAUCGUUAACUGAAUACAUAGGUUAACGAGGCGAACCGGGGGAACUGAAACAUCUAAGUACCCCGAGGAAAAGAAAUCAACCGAGAUUCCCCCAGUAGCGGCGAGCGAACGGGGAGCAGCCCAGAGUCUGAAUCAGCUUGUGUGUUAGUGGAACGGUCUGGAAAGUCCGACGGUACAGGGUGAUAGUCCCGUACACCAAAAUGCACAGGUUGUGAACUCGAAGAGUAGGGCGGGACACGUGGUAUCCUGUCUGAAUAUGGGGGGACCAUCCUCCAAGGCUAAAUACUCCUGACUGACCGAUAGUGAACCAGUACCGUGAGGGAAAGGCGAAAAGAACCCCGGCGAGGGGAGUGAAAAAGAACCUGAAACCGUGUACGUACAAGCAGUGGGAGCACCUUCGGGUGUGACUGCGUACCUUUUGUAUAAUGGGUCAGCGACUUAUAUUCUGUAGCAAGGUUAACCGUAUAGGGGAGCCGCAGGGAAACCGAGUCUUAACUGGGCGUUAAGUUGCAGGGUAUAGACCCGAAACCCGGUGAUCUAGCCAUGGGCAGGUUGAAGGUUGGGUAACACUAACUGGAGGACCGAACCGACUAAUGUUGAAAAAUUAGCGGAUGACUUGUGGCUGGGGGUGAAAGGCCAAUCAAACCGGGAGAUAGCUGGUUCUCCCCGAAAGCUAUUUAGGUAGCGCCUCGUGAACUCAUCUUCGGGGGUAGAGCACUGUUUCGGCUAGGGGGUCAUCCCGACUUACCAACCCGAUGCAAACUACGAAUACCGAAGAAUGUUAUCACGGGAGACACACGGCGGGUGCUAACGUCCGUCGUGAAGAGGGAAACAACCCAGACCGCCAGCUAAGGUCCCAAAGUCACAGUUAAGUGGGAAACGAUGUGGGAAGGCACAGACAGCCAGGAUGUUGGCUUAGAAGCAGCCAUCAUUUAAAGAAAGCGUAAUAGCUCACUGGUCGAGUCGGCCUGCGCGGAAGAUGUAACGGGGCUAAACUGUGCACCGAAGCUGCGGCAGCGACACUAUGUGUUGUUGGGUAGGGGAGCGUUCUGUAAGCCUGCGAAGGUGGCCUGUGAGGGUUGCUGGAGGUAUCAGAAGUGCGAAUGCUGACAUAAGUAACGAUAAUGCGGGUGAAAAGCCCGCACGCCGGAAGACCAAGGGUUCCUGUCCAACGUUAAUCGGGGCAGGGUGAGUCGACCCCUAAGGCGAGGCCGAAAGGCGUAGUCGAUGGGAAACAGGUUAAUAUUCCUGUACUUGGUGUUACUGCGAAGGGGGGACGGAGAAGGCUAUGUUAGCCGGGCGACGGUUGUCCCGGUUUAAGCAUGUAGGCGGAGGUUCCAGGUAAAUCCGGUACCUUUUAACGCUGAGGUGUGAUGACGAGGCACUACGGUGCUGAAGUAACAAAUGCCCUGCUUCCAGGAAAAGCCUCUAAGCAUCAGGUAACAUCAAAUCGUACCCCAAACCGACACAGGUGGUCAGGUAGAGAAUACCAAGGCGCUUGAGAGAACUCGGGUGAAGGAACUAGGCAAAAUGGUGCCGUAACUUCGGGAGAAGGCACGCUGAUAUGUAGGUGAAGCCCCUGCGGGUGGAGCUGAAAUCAGUCGAAGAUACCAGCUGGCUGCAACUGUUUAUUAAAAACACAGCACUGUGCAAACACGAAAGUGGACGUAUACGGUGUGACGCCUGCCCGGUGCCGGAAGGUUAAUUGAUGGGGUUAUCCGUAAGGAGAAGCUCUUGAUCGAAGCCCCGGUAAACGGCGGCCGUAACUAUAACGGUCCUAAGGUAGCGAAAUUCCUUGUCGGGUAAGUUCCGACCUGCACGAAUGGCGUAAUGAUGGCCAGGCUGUCUCCACCCGAGACUCAGUGAAAUUGAACUCGCUGUGAAGAUGCAGUGUACCCGCGGCAAGACGGAAAGACCCCGUGAACCUUUACUAUAGCUUGACACUGAACAUUGAGCCUUGAUGUGUAGGAUAGGUGGGAGGCUUUGAAGCGUGGACGCCAGUCUGCGUGGAGCCAACCUUGAAAUACCACCCUUUAAUGUUUGAUGUUCUAACGUUGGCCCCUGACCGGGGUUGCGGACAGUGUCUGGUGGGUAGUUUGACUGGGGCGGUCUCCUCCCAAAGAGUAACGGAGGAGCACGAAGGUUAGCUAAUCCUGGUCGGACAUCAGGAGGUUAGUGCAAUGGCAUAAGCUAGCUUGACUGCGAGCGUGACGGCGCGAGCAGGUGCGAAAGCAGGUCAUAGUGAUCCGGUGGUUCUGAAUGGAAGGGCCAUCGCUCAACGGAUAAAAGGUACUCCGGGGAUAACAGGCUGAUACCGCCCAAGAGUUCAUAUCGACGGCGGUGUUUGGCACCUCGAUGUCGGCUCAUCACAUCCUGGGGCUGAAGUAGGUCCCAAGGGUAUGGCUGUUCGCCAUUUAAAGUGGUACGCGAGCUGGGUUUAGAACGUCGUGAGACAGUUCGGUCCCUAUCUGCCGUGGGCGCUGGAGAAUUGAGGGGGGCUGCUCCUAGUACGAGAGGACCGGAGUGGACGCAUCACUGGUGUUCGGGUUGUCAUGCCAAUGGCAUUGCCCGGUAGCUAAAUGCGGAAGAGAUAAGUGCUGAAAGCAUCUAAGCACGAAACUUGCCCCGAGAUGAGUUCUCCCUGAGACUUUAAGUCUCCUGAAGGAACGUUAAAGACGAUGACGUUGAUAGGUCGGGUGUGUAAGCGUAGCGAUACGUUGAGCUAACCGAUACUAAUGAACCGUGAGGCUUAACCUUACAACGCCGAAGGUGUUU
rnacentral:rRNA from 1 species